GCAAGUCGAACGGAUCCUUCGGGAUUAGUGGCGCACGGGUGCGUAACACGUGGGAAUAUACCCUUGAGUAAGGAAUAAUGUCUGGAAACGGGCACUAAUACCUUAUAAUGACUUCGGUCCAAAGAUUUAUCGCUCAAGGAUUAGCCCGCGCUUGAUUAGUUUGUUGGUGAGGUAAUGGCUCACCAAGACUACGAUCAAUAGGGGGUCUGAGAGGAUGAUC
rnacentral:rRNA from 1 species